rnacentral:rRNA from 1 species
CCUACGGGAGGCAGCAGUGAGGAAUAUUGGUCAAUGGGCGAGAGCCUGAACCAGCCAAGUCGCGUGAGGGAGUACUGCCCUAUGGGUUGUAAACCUCUUUUGUCGGGGAGCAAAAGCCGGACGUGUCCGGCUGUGAGAGUACCCGAAGAAAAAGAAUUGGCUAACUCCGUGCCAGCAGCCGCGGUUAUACGGAGGAUGCGAGCGUUAUCCGGAUUUAUUGGGUUUAAAGGGUGCGCAGGCGGAUUUGUAAGUCAGCGGUAAAAUCGUGGGGCUCAACCCCAUCCAGCCGUGGACACUGGGGAUCUAGAGUGUGCGAGAGGUAUGCGGAAUGCGGGGUGUAGCGGUGAAAUGCAUAGAUAUCACGCAGAACCCCGAUUGCGAAGGCAGCAUACCGGUGCACAACUGACGCUCAGGCACGAAAGCGUGGGUAUCGAACAGGAUUAGAUACCCUUGUAGUC